GGAUCGGUAGUUCAGUUGGUUAGAAUGCCGCCCUGUCACGGCGGAGGUCGCGGGUUCGAGUCCCGUCCGGUACGCAA
rnacentral:tRNA from 1 species